AACGAACGCUGGCGGCAUGCCUAACACAUGCAAGUCGAACGAGACCUUCGGGUCUAGUGGCGCACGGGUGCGUAACGCGUGGGAAUCUGCCCAAAGGUUCGGAAUAACUCGGGGAAACCCGUGCUAAUACCGGAUAAUGUCUUCGGACCAAAGAUUUAUUGCCUUUGGAUGAGCCCGCGUCGGAUUAGCUAGUUGGUGAGGUAAAAGCUCACCAAGGCGACGAUCCGUAGCUGGUCUGAGAGGAUGAUCAGCCACACUGGGACUGAGACACGGCCCAGACUCCUACGGGAGGCAGCAGUGGGGAAUAUUGGACAAUGGGCGAAAGCCUGAUCCAGCAAUGCCGCGUGAGUGAUGAAGGCCUUAGGGUUGUAAAGCUCUUUUACCCGGGAUGAUAAUGACAGUACCGGGAGAAUAAGCUCCGGCUAACUCCGUGCCAGCCGCCGCCGUAACAC
rnacentral:rRNA from 1 species